GUAGGGAAUAUUGGGCAAUGGUCGGAAGACUGACCCAGCCAUGCCGCGUGCAGGAAGACGGCCCUCUGGGUUGUAAACUGCUUUUAUCUGGGAAGAAAAAGGCCAUGCGUGGCAAAUUGCCGGUACCAGAUGAAUAAGCACCGGCUAACUCCGUGCCAGCAGCCGCGGUAAUACGGAGGGUGCAAGCGUUGUCCGGAUUUAUUGGGGUUAAAGGGUGCGUAGGCGGCUGAUUAAGUCAGCGGUGAAAGACUCCGGCUUAACCGGAGCAGUGCCGUUGAUACUGGUUAGCUUGAGUGUUGGAGGGGUACAUGGAAUUGAUGGUGUAGCGGUGAAAUGCAUAGAUACCAUCAGGAACACCGAUAGCGAAGGCAUUGUACUGGCCAACAACUGACGCUGAUGCACGAAAGUGUGGGGAUCGAACAGGAUUAGAAACCCUAGUAGUCC
rnacentral:rRNA from 1 species